UACAGAGGUCCCAAGCGUUGUUCGGAUUCACUGGGCGUAAAGGGUGCGUAGGUGGUGGGGUAAGUUGGAUGUGAAAGCUCCGAGCUUAACUCGGAAAUGGCAUUCAAAACUACCUUGCUAGAGGGUUGGAAGGGGGACUGGAAUUCUCGGUGUAGCAGUGAAAUGCGUAGAUAUUCGGAAGAACACCAGUGGCGAAGGCGGCUCACUGGACGACUGUUGACGCUGAGGUACGAAAGCGUGGGGAGCAAACAGG
rnacentral:rRNA from 1 species